rnacentral:rRNA from 1 species
AGUGAACGCUGGCGGUAGGCCUAACACAUGCAAGUCGAACGGCAGCACAGUAAGAGCUUGCUCUUACGGGUGGCGAGUGGCGGACGGGUGAGGAAUACAUCGGAAUCUACUUUUUCGUGGGGGAUAACGUAGGGAAACUUACGCUAAUACCGCAUACGACCUACGGGUGAAAGCAGGGGAUCUUCGGACCUUGCGCGAUUGAAUGAGCCGAUGUCGGAUUAGCUAGUUGGCGGGGUAAAGGCCCACCAAGGCGACGAUCCGUAGCUGGUCUGAGAGGAUGAUCGGCAACACUGGAACUGAGACACGGUCCAGACUCCUACGGGAGGCAGAAGUGGGGAAUAUUGGACAAUGGGCGCAAGCCUGAUCCAGCCAUACCGCGUGGGUGAAGAAGGCCUUCGGGUUGUAAAGCCCUUUUGUUGGGAAAGAAAAGCAGCAGGUUAAUACCCCGCUGUUCUGACGGUACCCAAAGAAUAAGCACCGGCUAACUUCGUG